UGGGGAAUUUUCCGCAAUGGGCGAAAGCCUGACGGAGCAAUGCCGCGUGAAUGAAGAAGGUCUUCGGAUCGUAAAGUUCUGUCAUCAGGGAAGAACAGUAGUGGUGUGAAUAAUGCCAUUGCCUGACGGUACCUGAGGAGGAAGCCACGGCUAACUACGUGCCAGCAGCCGCGGUAAUACGUAGGUGGCGAGCGUUGUCCGGAAUUACUGGGCGUAAAGGGCGUGUAGGCGGGAAUUUAAGUCAGAUGUGAAAGACCCGGGCUCAACUUGGGGAUUGCAUUUGAUACUGGAUUUCUUGAGGACAGGAGAGGAAAGCGGAAUUCCUAGUGUAGCGGUGAAAUGCGUAGAUAUUAGGAGGAACACCAGUGGCGAAGGCGGCUUUCUGGACUGUAACUGACGCUGAGGCGCGAAAGCGUGGGGAGCGAACGGGAUUAGAUACCCUGGUAGU
rnacentral:rRNA from 1 species